rnacentral:rRNA from 1 species
UACGUAGGGGGCAAGCGUUGUCCGGAUUUAUUGGGCGUAAAGAGCGUGUAGGCGGCCUGACAGGUCUGCUGUGAAAACUCGAGGCUCAACCUCGAGAUGUCGGCGGAACCGUCUGGCUAGAGUCCGGAAGAGGAGAGUGGAAUUCCGUGGUGUAGCGGUGAAAUGGCGCAGAUAUCAGGAAGAACACCUAUGGCGAAGGCAGCUCUCUGGGACGGUACUGACGCUGAGACGCGAAAGCGUGGGGAGCGAACAGG